rnacentral:tRNA from 1 species
GGGGCGUUAGCUCAGUCGGUAGAGCAUCUGACUUUUAAUCAGGUGGUCGCAGGUUCGAAUCCUGCACGCCCCACCA